GGGGGGGGGGGGGGGGGGGCGUGGGGGAGGCGGGGCGAGCGAGGGGUGCGGGGUGAGGGGCGCACGGGGGCGUGACGCGGGGGAAUCUGCGCCUUGCUGCGGAAGGACGGUGAGAAAUGACUGCUAAUACCGGAGGAAGUCUUCGGACCAAAGAUUUAUCGGCAAGGGAUGAGCCCCCGUAGGAUUAGGUAGUUGGUGGGGUAAAGGCCUACCAAGCCGACGAUCCUUAGCUGGUCUGCGAGGAUGAUCAGCCACACUGGGACUGAGACACGGCCCAGACUCCUACGGGAGGCAGCAGUGGGGAAUAUUGGACAAUGGAAGAAAGUCUGCUCCAGCAAUGCCGCGUGAGUGAUGAAGGCAUUAGGGUUGUAAAGCUCUUUUACCAGGGAUGAUAAUGACAGUACCUGGAGAAUAAGCUGCGGCUAACUCCGUG
rnacentral:rRNA from 1 species